AGAUGCAUGCAUUCAUUGGAAUGGAGGGAAUAUCUCCGGCAAAUUUUGAGCUCGCGCCAUAUGUCUCAGCGUUUUUUCCUGCAAAAUGCAUUACCCGCGCGAGACUUCCCGGCCCAAAGGCCCGAAACCAGACCAACGUAGGUCGUAUAAAAAUUUCUGAAACCCCAACUCCUCCCGAAUCCCCUCCAGCGCCGCUCCCACCUUCUACUCUCUCCACGAUCCCCUCCCCUCCCACCUCGCCGAGCCUCGAUCUGGCCGGAUCUUGCCAAUCCACACACGGAUCCAGCCUAACCAUCCCACAGCUGCGGCGGCGGGCCACCAGGACGGCGGCGGGAACCACCAACCCAUCUUGAGAUCUCAACGGCGGCGGGUACCAAGAACCGAUGCUGCACCAACCGCACGCGUCACAAGGAGGGCGAGUGUGGUUGCUGUCGGAGCAGUGAACGCUGCGCUUGGCGCUGGACCAGCGGGGGCUGGGUGGGCCGCGACGCUUGAUUGGGUCGUUUCCAACUUCCCCGGCGUCGGCAGCGAUGAGACGCUGCGCCAGCAGACAUGACCGUUCCCGCGCAAGUACCCCAUGAAUCUCGUGUACGCGGCCAAGGUGACCACGCCGCUCGCAGCUCCAUCUGGGCUAUCCUCACUGUCAUCGUUGCUUUCGGCCGGUGCCAGCGUCGAUGACAUAAUUUAUCAAUGGUGGGUUCAGUAGUAACUCAAAUCUGUUUCUCUGAAUGUGCCAGCGUGUGAUGGAAUUUAUGAUUGGUGAGUUUGGUAGUAACUCUAAUCUGCUGCUAUGUUGUUUUCAGCCUGGUAAGAUAGUUGUUCAUGCCACUUGCUUAACUGUGUUACCUGUUUUCAGCUAGUGUACAAAAACAAACAAAUUCUAGACAUGCAUGAGUAGUGCAAGUAUGAAUUUGAUAGUGCAUCUUACCUGAGAUCGACAAAGUCUUGCUUUGCUUAAUUACACAUAAACAUGCAUGGUAAAAACAAAAUCCUUAUUGAUUACAGAGAAAGAAAGUUGAUACUCCCAUUACUGAGAAUAAGCUUUGGUUAGUUGAGAGUGUUCUAUGCGAACUUUAGUCAGUUUUCCGGCAUUUUACUAUUCAUAAAUCAUGCGUUCCGAAUGCCCUAAGUAGUUUUAUUUGUGAAGUGACUAUGUACUAAUGUACUUCUCCAUCGCGUAAUUGUCAAUGUGCAAGAUGUACAUGGAUAGUGCAUUUUGCAUCACUUUCCCUAUGUUUCUGCUGCCUGUAGUUACCCAGUAAUCACCCGACCAUUAAUCUUAAGGUGUUUUAGUUGCCCAAUUAUAUAUGUGAUAAUAGCCCAUUGUUUAUUUUUAAGUUCCUUUUCAUCAGAAUUUACACCGUAAGUACCAAGGUGGAUAUGGUUCUAAUAGUAUCAUCAACUAUUCAUUAUAUUAUUGUCCUAUGCAGCUGCAUUUGAUAAUAAUUGCCUUAUGUUUAGGAACGGAAGGAGUACUUUGUUACAUUGGAUCUCUUGGUGGUUAAUUUCCCGCAUUCUGGAGGAUUCAUGCUUGUUCACUACCCUUUUGUAUGCAUGGUUGAUUGCAUGCAUUAUCUUUUGCUUGCCGCCCGCAAUGGUUGUUCAAUAGAUUUUCUAUGUUCCAUUCAACGUGCACAUUAACUUGUUGACAUGUUUGGGCCAAACAAUAUGGAACAUGGAGGAUGUCUUGUCCUAAGACCCGAGCCAUUCACAUGUAUCGUAACGCUUUCCCUUACCUCUGGUGCAUCAUGCCUAUGUAUUUCUUUUUUCUAAUUCCCCAACUGCUAAUGAGUUACCUAAAGUAGAAUCUAUAGUGAAUACUCAUUUACUUUAAUAACUUGGUCAAUACUUGAUGUGCGCCUAGACAAGUGUAGCUACACAUUGGAAUCUUAAAUUUCAUUUUAGGGUGGCAUUUGUAUCCUUUAUCUGGAAAUAAUACUUGCUUGUUAACCUCUGUUGUAUUGUCAUGAUAGUCGUUGUUAAGCUACAAUGAGAAAAUUUUGUCCAACCUUUGUCCUAUAGUGGGUGAUUGUCUUGUGAAAAAUACCUCUGUAUUGUACUGUCAUGACACUUUGGUUGGCUUAUCAUAAUUGUAGUUGUUUCCUUCUUAUUACAGUAUAUGUGUCUUACAACAAAGAUGUUUCAAUUCAAUUGCUAUGUGGUCUGCAUGUUCUUCUCAUGUGUGAUCUUUCUUGAUCCCAGGAUAUUCUGCAAUCCAGAAGAACUGGCUACUCAGAAGUGGAUGACAGUGAACAGGAGAAGCUAUGGUUUCCUGAUUUGUUGUUAUGUGUACGUGUUGUCAUGAAGCAUAGUGGUUCUGGCUUUGUGUAAAAUCAUUAUAAGUAUAGUACCUCUUUAGAGGAGUUUAACGCUGAACUAUGUAUGUGAUUCAUGUACCUGAAGUAUCCACUAUGAUGCCUAUUGCUGAAAACAAUAUAACUAUUUAUUGAUAA